AGUGAACGCUGGCGGUAGGCCUAACACAUGCAAGUCGAACGGCAGCACAGUAAGAGCUUGCUCUUACGGGUGGCGAGUGGCGGACGGGUGAGGAAUACAUCGGAAUCUACUUUUUCGUGGGGGAUAACGUAGGGAAACUUACGCUAAUACCGCAUACGACCUACGGGUGAAAGCAGGAGAUCUUCGGACCUUGCGCGAUUGAAUGAGCCGAUGUCGGAUUAGCUAGUUGUCGGGGUAAAGGCCCACCAAGGCGACGAUCCGUAGCUGGUCUGAGAGGGUGAUCAGCCACACUGGAACUGAGACACGGUCCAGACUCCUACGGGAGGCAGCAGUGGGGAAUAUUGGACAAUGGGGGCAAGCCUGAUCCAGCCAUACCGAGUGGGUGAAGAAGACCUUCGGGUUGUAAAGCCCUUUUGUUGGGAAAGAAAAGCAGCAGGUUAAUACCCCGCUGUUCUGACGGUACCCAAAGAAUAAGCACCGGCUAACUUCGUG
rnacentral:rRNA from 1 species